CUUUCUAAACCGUCCACUAAACCGUCUGAGCAACAAACAAAAACAGCCAAAACUUUCAACAACGGAUCUCUUGGCUCUGGCAUCGAUGAAGAACGCAGCGAAAUGCGAUACGUAAUGCGAAUUGCAGAAUCCAGCGAGUCAUCGAAUCUUUGAAC
rnacentral:rRNA from 1 species